AUGGUCAAGCCUGACUUCUCGGGUGUGUCCCUAUCUGACAGUGGAAGGAGGAUGGGCCCUGGGGUGCUGCCUGGACUGCAGUCACAGCAAAGCAUCCCACCUUUUCCCAGAGAGCUCUACGGCCAACUCCAAGGAAAGACCGGACACCUGGCCCAGGCAGAGGCCUCACAUGCAGACAGGGUGCAGGAAUGGGUCCUCCAAACUGAAUAACCCAAUUAUGAGUCAUCUAAACACACUCCACCUGAACAGCUUCGUAUGUUAGAUCUGAAGGCAUCAAACCAGACUCUGUUUUUAUGCAGGGAUGCAACAGAUCCAUUUUAUUUAAACCAUGGAUUUUUUUUCCUUUUCAGUUUUUAUUUUUAAUUAGUCCAUGCUUGUAGUACAUAAUGAUUACAUUGUGCCUGGAAUUUAGCUCAGUGGUUCUGCUGCUGCCUGCCUUGAAAGUGCAAGGUCUGGAGUUCAAUCCUCAGUACCAAAAGAAAAAAAAAAGACUAUAAUGAUCACAUUCCUUGUGUGGAGUGGUGCACAUGCCUAACACAUCUUAAUCCUUUUUUCAUCCCCUUUCCCUCUCCUCCCUUCUCUUCCUUCCCUCCAUUACAUGAUCCCUUUCCCUUUUGCAAAAGAUCUAUGUCCCUCUUUCCUAUUAUCUUUCUUUCUUUCAUUUUGUUUUUUAUUUAUACUUUGGGUUUCUCAUACAAAAGAAACCAUGCAAUAUUGAAGCUUGUGUCCCUGAUUUAUUUCACUUAACAUUAUUGUCUCAAGGUGCAUCCAUUUUCCCACAAAUGACCCAAGUGUAUCCUUCUUUAUGGCAGAAUAAUACUCCAUUGUGUAUAAAUACCAC
rnacentral:lncRNA from 1 species